rnacentral:misc_RNA from 1 species
AAAUUGAAAAUGAAAGUAGGAUUUUCGUAAUGUUGACAAAAACGUUUUAACGUUUUUCAUUUAUAGUACAUGUAACUUAUUUAUCGUGAGGAUUAAGAUCAGAAAUGUGUAACGCUGAUGGCAUAAGAAGAACGAAAAACAGUAUACAAGGUUAGAAAGUACCACCUAGGAUUUCAAUAUAUAGUACAUAUUCAAAAUCCUGCAUAAGAUAUUAAUGAUGACAGAGACCCAAAGCCACGAGACAUACAUCAUAAAAACAUGGCCAUGUUGCUACUACGACAACAGCAGCAGAAGAUGGAUUUACGGAACUCUCUGUGUAAUGGGAAAAGGCUUGAGAUUUACCACAGACAAAGAAGACACUGUCGACAUUCUGUAUUCAGACAUUGCCCAAGCCAAGAAGUCAAUGACAGGACUUAUAUUCCGAGCUGUUGUGGUGGACACAAUUAAUGGCGAAAAACACUGGUUUUCUUCAUUUAACGACGCUUACUCAGUUGUGCAAUACAUCAGAUUUUUCUUGAAGUCAAAACUGCUGCAAAAGAAGGGUUCAAUAGAAGCAACUAAGAUGGAGGGAAGAACUGAGAUGGGACGCAAACUUCUAUCUGUUGCUGUGGAUUCUGAGAAAACGCUCAGGAAUGCUGCAGAAGUGCUAACUACUCAGGGUCACCAAUUAGACUCUGCCAUGGCCACAAUGAUAGACCUUCACUCUGACUUGGACGUGGCUGAAAACCUCGUCUCCGGACUGGAAUCCUGGUUUGGCAGGUGGUCAAUCCCAGAGGAGUACAAAACCAAUGACCCCCUAAUGGUCACUGAGUGUGACCUCUCACAAGAGUUAGACUAUGAGGUCCUCUACACAAAACUAGAACCCAACAAAAUGAACGUGCAACACCUGGGUAUCUUUCGGAUUGCCCAGGACGGAGUCUAUCUCAUGACGGACAGACAGAAACUUGUGCAUUGCUACAAGUGGAACGGAAUUUCGAGAGUUCGCGUCGUAAGUCUCUGGGAAAUCACGGUCACUAGAUUCCAGAUUGGUGAGGCGGACAUCUCUUAUUCUCUUGUGUUUACAUCUGUGUACAGUGUAUUAGGGAUUCUGGAUCGGAGACUGCGCAGUAAGGUGGAGUACUCCCAGGAUGCCUUUAGAGGAGAGUCGUCCGGGGUAAAACCUCUGAAAGCUACAUCCAGUAGUCUCUGUAGUCAAUCCAAACAACUUUUUAAUAAGAAAAAUGAAGGAACAGAUCUAAGAUUAGCACCACUCAAAAUAAACCAGCUUGGUGAUCAUAUGACCAGCAACAACCAAUCAGAUGCACCGAUACAACCAUGGGACCAAUCAUCACAAGUUUCAAUUCAGUCUUCAAAGAAAAUUGUAAGUGACCAGGAAGUGUCUGAACUAAGCGGCAUUCUGGGAGAUCUGAAGUCUAUGGCUCUUGGAGUUCAGCAGGAAAUGGAUGAUCAGGAUGAGAAAAUCAAGAAACUUGGGAGGACAGUGGAAGAAGCAAACAUUAGGGUGACGGAUACAGAACAACGCAUCAAAAACCUGCUGUAGUUAUAAACACUGACCAUUUUAAUGAGAUUGGGUUUGGAACAUGCAUUCAUGCUUGCCUAUAUGUGGCCUCAUCUUAUUUAUUAAAACGAAUAGUGGAAGAAGCAAACAUAAAAGUUUAAGUAACAGAAUAUGGCACAUUAAAAAACCUCUUGUAAUAAUAAUAUAACCUCAGACCAUUAGAUUUAGAAGAUUGGGUUUGGGGCAUGCAAUCUCAACCAUUAGAAGUGCGCCUAUAAGUGUGUGUAUUAAGGAUCAAUGAGAUGAGAAUCGACAAUUAACAGAACAUUUUUAUCAAACAAAUCAUAAUUGGGACCAUUAAUUUAUAAAACCAGCUAGUAGACAGUUACAUGUGUCUACAGUAACUGUUAUUUUGUUGAGAAUUUAAAAAGACUCUUUGCUUGAUAUUUUCUUUUUCAUUUUUCAAAGGUAUAAACCGUGGGUAAAACUAUAGACCGUGGGUAGAAGAUUGUACAUGUAAUGCAACAGUUUUAUUUAUAUAUAAGCUUUUAACUUAAUAAAAGCCUAUACAUUGG